rnacentral:rRNA from 1 species
GAUGAACGCUGACAGAAUGCUUAACACAUGCAAGUCUACUUGAUCCUUCGGGUGAUGGUGGCGGACGGGUGAGUAACGCGUAAAGAACUUGCCUUGCAGUCUGGGACAACGUCUGGAAACGGACGCUAAUACCGGAUAUUAUGGUUGAAUCGCAUGAUUUGAUUAUGUAAGCUAUAUGCGCUGCGAGAGAGCUUUGCGUCCCAUUAGUUAGUUGGUGUGGUAACGGCUCACCAAGACGAUGAUGGGUAGCCGGCCUGAGAGGGUGAACGGCCACAAGGGUGCUUAGACACGGCCCAUACUCCUACGGGAGGCAGCAGUGGGGAAUAUUGGACAAUGGACCAAAAGUCUGAUCCAGCAAUUCUGUGUGCACGAUGAAGUUUUUCGGAAUGUAAAGUGCUUUCAGUUGGGAAAAAGAAAGUGACGGUACCAACAGAAGAAGCGACGGCUAAAUACGUGCCAGCCGCCGCCGUAA